GACGAACGCUGGCGGCGUGCUUAACACAUGCAAGUCGAACGGAAAGGCCCUGCUUUUGUGGGGUGCUCGAGUGGCGAACGGGUGAGUAACACGUGAGUAACCUGCCCUUGACUUUGGGAUAACUUCAGGAAACUGGGGCUAAUACCGGAUAGGAGCUCCUGCUGCAUGGUGGGGGUUGGAAAGUUUCGGCGGUUGGGGAUGGACUCGCGGCUUAUCAGCUUGUUGGUGGGGUAGUGGCUUACCAAGGCUUUGACGGGUAGCCGGCCUGAGAGGGUGACCGGCCACAUUGGGACUGAGAUACGGCCCAGACUCCUACGGGAGGCAGCAGUGGGGAAUAUUGCACAAUGGGCGGAAGCCUGAUGCAGCAACGCCGCGUGCGGGAUGACGGCCUUCGGGUUGUAAACCGCUUUCGCCUGUGACGAAGCGUGAGUGACGGUAAUGGAUAAAGAAGCACCGGCUAACUACGUGCCAGCAGCCGCGGUGAUACGUAGGGUGCGAGCGUUGUCCGGAUUUAUUGGGCGUAAAGAGCUCGUAGGUGGUUGAUCGCGUCGGAAGUGUAAUCUUGGGGCUUAACCCUGAGCGUGCUUUCGAUACGGGUUGACUUGAGGAAGGUAGGGGAGAAUGGAAUUCCUGGUGGAGCGGUGGAAUGCGCAGAUAUCAGGAGGAACACCAGUGGCGAAGGCGGUUCUCUGGGCCUUUCCUGACGCUGAGGAGCGAAAGCGUGGGGAGCGAACAGGCUUAGAUACCCUGGUAGUCCACGCUGUAAACGGUGGGUACUAGGUGUGGGGUCCAUUCCACGGGUUCCGUGCCGUAGCUAACGCUUUAAGUACCCCGCCUGGGGAGUACGGCCGCAAGGCUAAAACUCAAAGGAAUUGACGGGGCCCCGCACAAGCGGCGGAGCAUGCGGAUUAAUUCGAUGCAACGCGUAGAACCUUACCUGGGUUUGACAUGGAUCGGGAGUGCUCAGAGAUGGGUGUGCCUCUUUUGGGGUCGGUUCACAGGUGGUGCAUGGCUGUCGCCAGCUCGUGUCGUGAGAUGUUGGGUUAAGUCCCGCAACGAGCGCAACCCUUGUUCACUGUUGCCAGCACGUUAUGGUGGGGACUCAGUGGAGACCGCCGGGGUCAACUCGGAGGAAGGUGGGGAUGACGUCAAGUCAUCAUGCCCCUUAUGUCCAGGGCUUCACGCAUGCUACAAUGGCUGGUACAGAGAGUGGCGAGCCUGUGAGGGUGAGCGAAUCUCGGAAAGUCGGUCUCAGUUCGGAUUGGGGUCUGCAACUCGACCUCAUGAAGUCGGAGUCGCUAGUAAUCGCAGAUCAGCAACGCUGCGGUGAAUACGUUCCCGGG
rnacentral:rRNA from 1 species